rnacentral:rRNA from 1 species
UAGCUACAGGCUUAACACAUGCAAGUCGAGGGGCAGCAUGGUCUUAGCUUGCUAAGGCCGAUGGCGACCGGCGCACGGGUGAGUAACACGUAUCCAACCUGCCGUCUACUCUUGGACAGCCUUCUGAAAGGAAGAUUAAUACAAGAUGGCAUCAUGAGUCCGCAUGUUCACAUGAUUAAAGGUAUUCCGGUAGACGAUGGGGAUGCGUUCCAUUAGAUAGUAGGCGGGGUAACGGCCCACCUAGUCUUCGAUGGAUAGGGGUUCUGAGAGGAAGGUCCCCCACAUUGGAACUGAGACACGGUCCAAACUCCUACGGGAGGCAGCAGUGAGGAAUAUUGGUCAAUGGGCGAGAGCCUGAACCAGCCAAGUAGCGUGAAGGAUGACUGCCCUAUGGGUUGUAAACUUCUUUUAUAAAGGAAUAAAGUCGGGUAUGCAUACCCGUUUGCAUGUACUUUAUGAAUAAGGAUCGGCUAACUCCGUGCCAGCAGCCGCGGUAAUACGGAGGAUCCGAGCGUUAUCCGGAUUUAUUGGGUUUAAAGGGAGCGUAGAUGGAUGUUUAAGUCAGUUGUGAAAGUUUGCGGCUCAACCGUAAAAUUGCAGUUGAUACUGGAUAUCUUGAGUGCAGUUGAGGCAGGCGGAAUUCGUGGUGUAGCGGUGAAAUGCUUAGAUAUCACGAAGAACUCCGAUUGCGAAGGCAGCCUGCUAAGCUGCAACUGACAUUGAGGCUCGAAAGUGUGGGUAUCAAACAGGAUUAGAUACCCUGGUAGUCCACACGGUAAACGAUGAAUACUCGCUGUUUGCGAUAUACAGCAAGCGGCCAAGCGAAAGCGUUAAGUAUUCCACCUGGGGAGUACGCCGGCAACGGUGAAACUCAAAGGAAUUGACGGGGGCCCGCACAAGCGGAGGAACAUGUGGUUUAAUUCGAUGAUACGCGAGGAACCUUACCCGGGCUUAAAUUGCAGAUGAAUUACGGUGAAAGCCGUAAGCCGCAAGGCAUCUGUGAAGGUGUUGCAUGGUUGUCGUCAGCUCGUGCCGUGAGGUGUCGGCUUAAGUGCCAUAACGAGCGCAACCCUUGUUGUCAGUUACUAACAGGUUCCGCUGAGGACUCUGACAAGACUGCCAUCGUAAGAUGUGAGGAAGGUGGGGAUGACGUCAAAUCAGCACGGCCCUUACGUCCGGGGCUACACACGUGUUACAAUGGGGGGGUACAGAGGGCCGCUACCACGCGAGUGGAUGCCAAUCCCAAAAACCUCUCUCAGUUCGGACUGGAGUCUGCAACCCGACUCCACGAAGCUGGAUUCGCUAGUAAUCGCGCAUCAGCCACGGCGCGGUGAAUACGUUCCCGGGCCUUGUACACACCGCCCGUCAAGCCAUGGGAGCCGGGGGUACCUGAAGUGCGUAACCGCGAGGAGCGCCCUAGGGUAAAACUGGUGACUGG